AGUGAAUCAUCGAAUCUUUGAACGCACCUUGCCGCCCCUUGGCAUUCCGAGGGGCACACCCGUUUGAGUGUCGUGAAUAUCCUCAACCUUCUCUGUUUCUCAUUGAUCGGAGAAGGCUUGGACUUUGGAGGCUUUUGCUGGCCUCUCUUGAAGCCAGCUCCUCUUAAAUGCAUUAGCGGGGGUUUCCUUUUGGUCAAUCCUUGACGUGAUAAGAUAUUUUCUACGUUUGGGGCUUGGCUUUUUGAGACCCGCUUCUAAUGGUCUCAUAGAGACGCUUGGUCGAGUUUUACUUUGGCCCAUAAUGAACCCUUUGACCUCAAAUCGGGUGAGACUACCCGCUGAACUUAAGCAUAUCAAUAAGCGGAGGA
rnacentral:sRNA from 1 species